CACUAGAAGAUAAAGACUUUUAGCAAUACCUGCCCAGUGCGAAAUAUUACUGUAAACGGCCGCCCUAGCGUGAGGGUGCGAAGGUAGCGAAAUUCCUUGCCUUUUGAUUGUGGGCCUGCAUGAAUGGUUUAACGAGGGUUUGACUGUCUCUAAGUUUUUUAUUGAAAUUGUAUUGAAGGUGAAGAUACCUUCAUUUAAAAGUUAGACAAAAAGACCCCGUGCAACUUUGAAAAUUGGCUUUAUUCAGAGGUAAAAGAUUUUUAGGUGGGGCGCCUAGAAAGUAAGUCUAACCUUUCUGAAUAAUUAGUUCUUUCCGGAUUUGACCCGAUUAUAUUCGAUCAUAGGAGAAGCUACGCCGGGGAUAACAGGCCGAUCCUUUAGUAGAGCUCGUAUUGGCUAAAGGGAUUGGCACCUCGAUGUUGAAUCAGGGAUGACACCUUCAAGGCGUAGAGGCUUUGAGAGUAGGUCUGUUCGACCUUUAAUACCCU
rnacentral:rRNA from 1 species